UCUAAUUUUUACAGCAACACA
rnacentral:piRNA from 1 species